rnacentral:misc_RNA from 1 species
UUUCCGUAGGUGAACCUGCGGAAGGAUCAUUAUUGUAUAACCGAGGUGCGAGGGCUGUCGCUGACCCGAAAGGUCGUGCACGCCCGAGUGCCCUCACACACAUCCACCUCACCCCUAUGUGCACCACCGCGUGGGUCCCCCUUUGGCUUGUUCGGAGGGGGGCUUACGUUUUCACACAAACUUUGUAUGCAGUGUAGAAUGUAUUAUUUGUUUUUGCGAUCACGCAAUCAAUACAACUUUCAACAACGGAUCUCUUGGCUCUC